rnacentral:rRNA from 1 species
AACGGACGCUGGCGGCAGGCUUAACACAUGCAAGUCGAACGGGCCCUUCGGGGUCAGUGGCAGACGGGUGAGUAACGCGUGGGAACGUGCCCUUCAGUUCGGGAUAACCCAGGGAAACUUGGGCUAAUACCGGAUACGUGCGUGAGCAGAAAGAUUUAUCGCUGAAGGAUCGGCCCGCGUCUGAUUAGCUGGUUGGUGGGGUAAUGGCCCACCAAGGCGACGAUCAGUAGCUGGUCUGAGAGGAUGAUCAGCCACAUUGGGACUGAGACACGGCCCAAACUCCUACGGGAGGCAGCAGUGGGGAAUAUUGGACAAUGGGCGCAAGCCUGAUCCAGCCAUGCCGCGUGAGUGAUGACGGCCUUAGGGUUGUAAAGCUCUUUCGCACGCGACGAUAAUGACGGUAGCGUGAGAAGAAGCCCCGGCUAACUUCGUGCCAGCAGCCGCAGUAA